rnacentral:rRNA from 1 species
GUGAGGAAUUUUCCGCAAUGGGCGAAAGCCUGACGGAGCAAUGCCGCGUGAAGGAUGAAGGCCUAUGGGUUGUAAAGUUCUUUAGCCGAUGAUUAUAAUGACUGUAGUCGGAAAAUAAGCCCCGGCUAACUUCGUGCCAGCAGCCGCGGUAAUACGAAGGGGGCGAGCGUUAUUCGGAAUCACUGGGCGUAAAGCGUGCGUAGGCGGUUUUGUAAGUUAGGAGUGAAAGCCCAGGGCUCAACCUUGGAAUUGCUCUUAAAACUGCAAGGCUCGAAUCUCGGAGAGGAUAGCGGAAUUUCCAGUGUAGCAGUGAAAUGCGUAGAUAUUGGAAGGAACACCAGUGGCGUAAGCGGCUAUCUGGACGAGUAUUGACGCUGAGGCACGAAAGCGUGGGGAUCAAACAGGAUUAGAAACCCGGGUAGUCC